rnacentral:rRNA from 1 species
UACGUAGGGGGCAAGCGUUGUCCGGAAUCAUUGGGCGUAAAGCGCGUGUAGGCGGCUUGGUAAGUCUGCUCUGAAAGCCCGGGGCUCAACCCUGGGAGGCGGGUGGAUACUGCUGAGCUCGAGUCCGGAAGAGGCGAGUGGAAUUCCUGGUGUAGCGGUGAAAUGCGCAGAUAUCAGGAGGAACACCAAUGGCGAAGGCAGCUCGCUGGGACGGUAGCUGACGCUGAGACGCGAAAGCGUGGGGAGCAAACAGG